CAGGGCCUGGAGGACCUCCUUCACCUCCGCCUUCGCAGAGUCGUUCUCCGUCUGCAGCCUGCCGAGCUCCGACUGCACCUUCUCGCUGUCGCCCCUGGAUGAUGCUAGAAGCUGAGAGGCACGGAGGUUUAACAGCUUAAUACAAACGUGUUUUGCAGACAUGCAGCCUGGUGUGGGCCGUUUAACCAAACUGAUGAAAAGGAAGCAGAAGAAAGGUCUUUUACCUCCUCCUGGUCGAGCAUCUGCUCCUUCAGCUUCUCCACCAUCUGGCUCUGGUGGUUGAUCUCAUCAUCCUUUAGUGAAAUGUGAACCACAAUGGACGACGCAAUGGAGCAGGGGCUGCAGGGGCUGCAGGGGCUGCAGGGGCUGCAGAUGUCGAGAACCGGCUCCUCGGAUCCCGGAGGCACCAGGGUAACCUCCUCCAAUCCCUCACUCGACUGCCCCGACACAACAACAUCCUCACCUAAAGAUGAGAGACCAGAAUAUUAGAUUUUAUUUGAACCAUAUGGGAAGCUUCUACUUCUGGUUCUUGUGUGACUCAGCACUGAUUUGACUGAUAUGAUGAACUGUGGCUGAAGAUAAGAGAAUCAAUGUGGAAACUGAGCGCUUUAGACAAGGUCAAGAAAAAUCAAUUAAGACAAUACACCUUUCACAGCCUAGGUUGUCCUGUGUAGUUGAGGGUGUGCACAUCACUAAAAGCAGCUUCCAGGUUAAAGGUAACAAAAACCUGCACUGCACACCGUACAAGAUUCCCGCUCUAGACUGGAGAGAAUUUACUGUUGAGACAGCUGCUCCUGUCUUUGGGCCAUCAUUGACUAAAGAGUCGGGUAAUGUGGUGCAAGAUGGAGGUCAACGGCAUCCGUCUCAGGGAGUUCCUGGCCUGAGGUGGGCAACAACACAGGGAGCAGUGAGGAGGGAGUGGGGGCAAUGAUGUUGUCAAAAUGAUCCAUUAGGAAAUUAAAAGUACUAAAUUGUAAGAGAGACGGAGAGGAAGGGAGUGGAGAGAGAGAGAGUGUGUGUGUGUGUGUGUGAAGGAGAAUCAGCUGAGUGGGAUGAAGCGAUAAAAGGAAUAUUUUUCACUGAUAGCUGUUCGAUAAAGAUGCAUUGCAGCGUUUUUAAAAUUCAGGAUCAAACGCUGAGGGAAUGAUCUUCUAGAAAAACACAGGACGGGAUUCAUUACACUGCCUGAAUGUCAACCAAUCACUGCCAUUGAGAGCACUGACAUUUGGAUUGACCUCAGGUCCAGCAGGAGAGGAUAGAUGUGUGUGUGAGUGUGUGUGUGUAAUUAUGAGGGAGUAUGUGUGUGUAGCGCUUCAUGAGCUUGUGUCCUUGUGCGUGUACUGACACAGAGGUUGUGCGUGAAGACAUGGAAGAGGACCAGUGUAAGUUAUGACUUUUCUGUAGAUGUGAUUAGCCCUUGUUGCUGCGAGGAUUAUUAAUACAUACAGAUUCAUAAAACAUAAAGCUUCCAGUGUUUCUUCCCUCCAGCACAAUGUGAGGGUAAUCCACUUAUACAAAGAGUAAAAGUCAGAAUAAUAUGAAACAGAAAUAGCCAGACAGGGAUUUUUAAGUGUUUUGGGCACAAGUCCAGAGAGUGUGUUUGGCUGCUCCCUUCCCAUAUCUCCACUGGCAUGUAUUUGGAAUGAGGUUAAAUCUGCACUUAUGUGGACUGAGAAGUAAUGUCUGCAUGCGAGCAGGCUGCUGUUAGUGAGUACUCUUCCAUGCAGUUAGAGAGACUGGAACAGGGAUGUGUAGUUAAGUGGUUUUUCUAUAGGGGAUUAUAUAGCGGCUGUACCAGCGACCUCCAGCACAAACCCCUCUUACUUUUGAGUGGAAGCUUGUCAGGUGAUCUUUUCCACCAAACAUAAAAUCCUGAUUCAGGAUUCUGGUUUACAGCUGUUUUUAUAAAACUGUAUCAUUUAUUAGCAUAAUUUGAUGACAAGUCACAGCCACGUUAGUAGCUAUGAGUAGGUUUUACAACAUGGAAGUCUGCAGCUUGAGGCUACGUUGGCUGCAACUAGCAUAACACACCCAAAACAACUGAACUGUCGGUGUUUGAGUUGCACUGUGGGAAAUACAGGAAUGUUCUGUUUGACAAGAAGGAGAAUAUAUGGAAUAUAGGGGACAGCUGCAGCAAUGUUUCUCAGUCAAAAAUCUCCACCGGAUGAUGAGGCUAAAUGAGAAGUCAAAAUAAUUCACCCUCUAACGACCAUGACUGUUUCAUGGUGAAUCAUCCACUGGUUGUUGAAAUAAUUCCAGUCGGCAAAGAUGUCGGGCCGCCUGUGCGGUUAAAAAUAUGAACUUAUUUUU